GACGAACGAUGGCGGCGUGUUUAAGACAGGCAAGUCGAAGGACCGGCGCACGGGCGAGUAACACGUAUCCAACCUGAACUUUACUCCGGGAUAGUCUGUCGAAAGAAAGAUUAAUACCCGAUAUAAAGGAUGGGGAUGCGUUCCAUUAGGUGGUUGGUGAGGUAACGGCCCACACAGCCUUAGGUGGAUAGGGUUUCUGAGAGGAAGGUCUCCCACCUUGGAACUGAGACACGAUCCAAACUCCUACGGGAGUCAGCAGUGAGGAAUAUUGGUCAAUGGGCGCUAGCCUGAACCAGCCAAUUAGCGGAAAGGAUGAAGGCGUAUGGGUCGUAAACUUCUUUUAUAUAAGAAUAUGUAUUAUAUGAAUAUGGUUCGGUUAACGCCGUGCCAGCGGCCGCGGUAAUAC
rnacentral:rRNA from 1 species